rnacentral:lncRNA from 1 species
UUUUAUUAUAGGAGCGGCUUGACUAUGGCCCUUGGUGGUAACAGCUGAGGAGAACCAGAUGAGGUGCCCACUACUUAUUGGGAGUGGCUCUGUUUGGUGCAGCCCUAUGCUGUGGAUUAGUGUUCAUGCUAUGGUUGGUUUGCAAACUCAGAGCUCAACAAAAACGUGACAAGGUCGUUGUCACUCAAGCACUUGUGGCCAUUGAACAAGGGGCCUCCCCUAGAAUUUGGUUAUCUAUGCUCAAGAAUUAGUCGGUAUCUGAGUUCUCUGCUCUUACACCCUAUGGAUCUGUGGAUCCAUUACACUGGGAUGAGAGAGACUCAAUGAUUCUUUGAUCAGCCCUUCUACAUCGCUGAGGUUUCCUCAUUGCAUGCGAUAGGGUGAUCAUGAUUUCCCCACUAACUCAUUUUCUGGCUGGCCUCUUUUAUAGAGCUCGCCCUAGGUCAUUUAACAGUUACUGUCACACAGCACUGUGGUAUCCAGAGAUGGGCAACUUUCCUCAUGCACAGACCAAUCUAAGACACGGGGCCCGGUGGCGAUAGGGUUACCCUUCGACGGAUAAGGCUGUGACAUAGAGGAACAACCUAAGACAGGAGCCACAGCAGAUGGACGUAACUGCAGGGACCUAGACCAGCCUAGACAAUAAUUUAUUGUUAUUAAUAAAACAAUAAGGGGGAGAUGUAGAGGGCCGCAAUAACAUUCGCCACCACAAGAUGGCGCUGGCUUCCACUACGCCCCCACGUGGAAAGCCGGGAUAGCUUUUGCCAUUACAAGAUGGCGCUGUCCUCCGCCACGCCAGCCGACUUCCUUUCAGGAAGUUAACUGUGUGGGCAUGUGCAAGAGUGCCUUCGUGCCAGGUCUUUGCCCACUCUGGGGCGUGCCUAAUGAGAUCAUGGGUAAGCGACCAAUCAGGUGUGGAUGCGCUGCACUAGGGUGUAUAUAAUCCGCGCCAUGCCGGCGCCCCGGGGCCCCUCUCUUUAAGAUUCAAUAAACAUUUUGGCUACGGAA